CAUUUCCUACGAUCGUCGCGAGCUCGUUUUACGACUGACGUAAGAAAAUACUUGCGAGCUGUAUUUACGUGCUCGUACACUAUACAUGGGCAUUCUUCGUAGACGCUUAUACAUGUACAGGCUGAUUCAUAUAACCGGGUAAAAGGACGAUCCUGAAUCAUGCUGUAGAUCGGUCGAUCAUCGUAUAUGGAUUCGCAUGCGUGCAAGCUAGAGGAUACCUAAGCGGGGAUUAUUCAUUAUUUUACGACAUGACCAACCUCGAAUAACCAACGUCGUCUCUUCUCUUCCUUUCCCUAUGCUUUUCCAUGGAUCUUGGUCUUUUCAAGUUUUUCAUUUCUAUAUAGGUAUAUCCUAUGUAAUACAACGGUGUAUGGCUUCGUGUUAUCGUCGUAGUUGCUAUAUCGCGUCGACAUUGACUAUAAAUAUUUCGGUAGCUAUGGUUACUUUAACUACGUUUAAGUGACUUCCUAUAAUUUAGAAAGGUAAAGGAUAGGAAAAAGUUUUGUUCUUUUAAUCGUGACAAAUACAUAAGGGAAUAGGUAUUUGAUACAAAAGGAAAAUAAUAAAAUACAAUUAUUUUUAAUCUUA